GAGAAGAAGGUAUAGAGAGGAGGAGAUUAGAAAGAAUGUGGCAAUGUUUGUGCAGGUGAAGGAAGAACAAGCCAUGGUUAUCUGUAAUGUUAUGAAAUUAUGAAAUCAAACUGUUUGCCUGUUGAUGUUUAUGUUGAUUUCAGAUUUCCAUCCUAAACAGAGACGAUGAAGGUGGUGGAAUUACGUCCAAUGAAAUAUGAGGUGCUGAAAAGAAUAUAGAUUUCUCUUUGUUAAUUUGUUGGAUUUGCCUAAUUAUAUUCAGCUUUCAUCUUAAUUUGGCAUAUAACAAGUUCACACGUAGAACUUAAUAGUUACACAAGGAGAUUAUCACUCUCUCAUUUAGGGACUACUAUAGACUGCUAUUAGGUUUUUGUCGUGACAUAUAUGGACAGAAAAAAACUAAAGAUAUAAGUAACAAAUUAGUAGGACUCCUGAGGUAGUUCUUAAAGAAGUUAUUAAAGACAUCAGUCUCUCAUUUGAUUCAGUGUAUUAUAAGAAGAGUUGUUGUCAUUCUUUAGAGACAUUUAUGAUGGAAGUAUGAAAGACCAACCUCCUUCCUGUGACAACGUAUUUAGUUACUGUAUAACUAGAUUACCUAGUUAAUAGAAGAGUGUUAAUGAGUUUUUGUUCAUUUUUUAUACUUCUGUUUUAUUUCUAUACUCUUUUUCUUUGUAAAUUGAACAUUACCUUUAUUUUUUAAAUAAAAUUUUAAUUGUUUAAAAAAAAGAGAUUAACAAUACUUGAUAUAACUAUUAAGACGGCUGAGAGUUCAAGAUUCUAAUCUUUUUGUGUAUGUAGUUUUUAUUUAAUUUUCACCACGAUUUAACUGGUGAUAUAUUAUACGACUCUAGUACAACACUCGUGAUGGAAAUUAAAUGAAACUAAAUCCCUAAACCUUCAGCAACUUUAAUAGUUACUAUGACCAGUUCAGCUAACCACCUUGUGUAAAACAUGAGAGCAAACAUGAAACAUCAAAGUUGGAAGACCAAAAUCAUAACAUGUUUGAAAAUCUCUAAUUCCAUAAAAAAAUACUUCUAAACAAUACAAAUCUUGUUCUGAACAGAAUGCUCCCAAACAAUCACACCUUGAUCGAUUGAGAAGAGUACAACUACAUCCUACAGGUGUUUUUAUUUCUCAGAUCUGUUGUUUUGUUCUUCACUUC
rnacentral:lncRNA from 1 species